CCUACGGGAGGCAGCAGUAGGGAAUUUUCCCCAAUGGGGGCAACCCUGAUGGAGCAACGCCGCGUGCAGGAUGAAGGCCCUAGGGUCGUAAACUGCUCUUAUAUGUGAAGAUUGUGACGGUAGCAUAUGAAUAAGGAUCGGCUAACUCCGUGCCAGCAGCCGCGGUAAU
rnacentral:rRNA from 1 species